rnacentral:rRNA from 1 species
CUCUCGUUAGAUUGAAGAAGCUUGCUUCUGAUUGAUAACAUUUGAGUGAGUGGCGGACGGGUGAGUAACACGUGGGUAACCUGCCCUAAAGUGGGGGAUAACAUUUGGAAACAGAUGCUAAUACCGCAUAAAACCUAGCACCGCAUGGUGCAAGGUUGAAAGAUGGUUUCGGCUAUCACUUUAGGAUGGACCCGCGGUGCAUUAGUUAGUUGGUGAGGUAAAGGCUCACCAAGACCGUGAUGCAUAGCCGACCUGAGAGGGUAAUCGGCCACACUGGGACUGAGACACGGCCCAGACUCCUACGGGAGGCAGCAGUAGGGAAUCUUCCACAAUGGACGAAAGUCUGAUGGAGCAACGCCGCGUGAGUGAAGAAGGUUUUCGGAUCGUAAAACUCUGUUGUUGGAAAAGAACGUAUUUGAUAGUAACUGAUCAGGUAGUGACGGUAUCCAACCAGAAAGCCACGGCUAACUACGUGCCAGCAGCCGCGGUAAUACGUAGGUGGCAAGCGUUGUCCGGAUUUAUUGGGCGUAAAGCGAGCGCAGGCGGUUUCUUAAGUCUGAUGUGAAAGCCUUCGGCUCAACCGAAGAAGUGCAUCGGAAACUGGGAAACUUGAGUGCAAAAGAGGACAGUGGAACUCCAUGUGUAGCGGUGAAAUGCGUANAUAUAUGGAAGAACACCAGUGGCGAAGGCGGCUGUCUGGUCUGUAACUGACGCUGAGGCUCGAAAGCAUGGGUAGCAAACAGGAUUAGAUACCCUGGUAGUCCAUGCCGUAAACGAUGAGUGCUAGGUGUUGGAGGGUUUCCGCCCUUCAGUGCCGCAGCUAACGCAUUAAGCACUCCGCCUGGGGAGUACGACCGCAAGGUUGAAACUCAAAGGAAUUGACGGGGGCCCGCACAAGCGGUGGAGCAUGUGGUUUAAUUCGAAGCAACGCGAAAAACCUUACCAGGUCUUGACAUCCUUUGACCACUCUAGAGAUAGAGCUUUCCCUUCGGGGACAAAGUGACAGGUGGUGCAUGGUUGUCGUCAGCUCGUGUCGUGAGA